UGACAAAAAAAAAAAAAAAAAAAAAAAAAAAAAAAAAAAGGAAAGAAUAAUGACAAAACUGACAAAAAAAAAAAAAAAAAAAAAAAAAAAAAAAAAAAAAAAAAAAAAAAAAAGGAAAGAA